ACGACUCUCGGCAACGGAUAUCUCGGCUCUCGCAUCGAUGAAGAACGUAGCGAAAUGCGAUACUUGGUGUGAAUUGCAGAAUCCCGUGAACCAUCGAGUCUUUGAACGCAAGUUGCGCCCGAAGCCGUUAGGCCAAGGGCACGUCUGCCUGGGCGUCAC
rnacentral:rRNA from 1 species